AGAGAGAGAGAGAGAGAGAGAGAGAGAGGAGCGAAGGCGACGAAGAAGAGAGAGGGAGAACGAUGUCAGACGAGGAGCACCACUUCGAGUCGAAGGCCGACGCCGGUGAUCAUGGGCAUGCCCUGCAAGACGGAAGGAUAGCUACAAACUAGAUUUGUGCUACGGGCAAGAAGAGACUAUUGGUGAUAUUUUCUCCCGCUAGAUUAAACAUCUCCUUGAGGGAAUUCUCAAAGGAGGUAAUGGUUGUAUAAUUGCUUAUGGUGCUCAAGGAAGUGGGAAGAAACAAUUAGUUCAGGGUUCCGAAGAAAACCCAGGUUUGGCACUAAUGGUACUCUCGGAGAUCCUACCAGGGAGUUGGUGGCUUUGUUUUUGGAAAUGACAAUGCUUCAAAUGAAGAUAGGUUACAAGAAGCGAUUCUUUCUAUUCCUCGUGGUAUUUAUGGAUAUGCUUAUGGAUCGUGAGGUUUGCAUUUGUCUAUUUCUUUCUUGUUUAGCUAGUCCGUGAGGUCUUGAGGUAUGUAGACUUCCACUGGUUGAUGCUAUAUGAUUUGGUAUGUUAGUUAGGCAUCAGUGUUUUUAAUUAAAGACCAGAAUGUUCCCAUUAGGUUGGUGGAACAAUUUAAUUAGUUUGAACAAGCUGUUUUAACUAGCUCUGGGGACUCUAUAGUUAGAUUUUAUGUUACCAUCCAUUCACUAUGUUCUUGCUUUAUUCAUACAUAGACCAGAUGCAAUAUAAUAUUAGGAGUAUACAUAGAGAAUCAAUGAUUGGACACUGAAAGAGCAGUAUUAAGCUUCAAAUUCUCACCUUUAUAUUAGUAAUAUGGGAUAUUAAAUCAGAACAAAGUGAAUGGAUGGUAACAUAAAACUUGUGAUGCUUGUCUAGCAAGUAUAAAAUGGUCAUUCGUUUUUAGCAAGUAUAACGUGAAUGGAGUAUACAUGUGCAGGACUAGGUAAUUAUUUUUUAUAAAAUCUCUUAUAUAGUUUUAUGAUUGACUACUUGCACUUGAGAAAAUGAGAUUUUUACUUAAUAGGAUAAUAAUUUCUUAAUUGAUAUUUCUUAAUUAUGUGAUUUUUUUUAAAUU